AUUGAACGCUGGCGGCAGGCCUAACACAUGCAAGUCGAGCGGAUGAAGGGAGCUUGCUCCUGGAUUCAGCGGCGGACGGGUGAGUAAUGCCUAGGAAUCUGCCUGGUAGUGGGGGAUAACGUCCGGAAACGGGCGCUAAUACCGCAUACGUCCUGAGGGAGAAAGUGGGGGAUCUUCGGACCUCACGCUAUCAGAUGAGCCUAGGUCGGAUUAGCUAGUUGGUGGGGUAAAGGCCUACCAAGGCGACGAUCCGUAACUGGUCUGAGAGGAUGAUCAGUCACACUGGAACUGGGACACGGUCCAGACUCCUACGGGAGGCAGCAGUGGGGAAUAUUGGACAAUGGGCGAAAGCCUGAUCCAGCCAUGCCGCGUGUGUGAAGAAGGUCUUCGGAUUGUAAAACACUUUAAGUUGGGAGGAAGGGCAGUAAGUUAAUACCUUGCUGUUUUGACGUUACCAACAGAAUAAGCACCGGCUAACUUCGUG
rnacentral:rRNA from 1 species